rnacentral:rRNA from 1 species
ACGGAAGGCAGCAGUGGGGAAUAUUGCACAAUGGGGGAAACCCUGAUGCAGCGACGCCGCGUGAGUGAAGAAGUAUUUCGGUAUGUAAAGCUCUAUCAGCAGGGAAGAAAAUGACGGUACCUGACUAAGAAGCCCCGGCUAACUACGUGCCAGCAGCCGCGGUAAUACGUAGGGGGCAAGCGUUAUCCGGAUUUACUGGGUGUAAAGGGAGCGUAGAUGGCAUGGCAAGUCUGAAGUGAAAGCUCGGGGCUCAACCCCGGAACUGCUUUGGAAACUGUCAAGCUAGAGUAUCGGAGAGGUAAGCGGAAUUCCUAGUGUAGCGGUGAAAUGCGUAGAUAUUAGGAGGAACACCAGUGGCGAAGGCGGCUUGCUGGACGAUAACUGACAUUGAGGCUCGAAAGCGUGGGGAGCAAACAGGAUUAGAUACCCUGGUA